rnacentral:antisense_RNA from 1 species
UUUUUGAUUUUCUGGCUUUAUUGAAAGUGGACUAUUGAAGUCUCCUACUAUUAUUAUUAUUAUGGAAAUGGAGUCCUGCUCUGUCACCCAGGCUGGAGUGCAGUGGCAAAAUCUCGGCUCACUGAAACCUCCUCCUCCCGGGUUCGAGUGAUUCUCCUCCCUCAGCCUCCUGAGUAGCUGAGAUUACAGGUCACAGAAUUUUCCACACUCCUUGACGGAGGUGCUUAACCCUUAUCCAUCAGCAUUCUCAGACAGCACCUCCGGUUAGGGACAGUAUCUGACCGUCCGACAUCCCUGCAGCCCCCAUGUGUCACACAGACUCAGCCUCAGGUAGAUGGUUUCCGUAGAUGGUGGCUUUCUUUGGACCCUUGACAUCAACCAGUUACUAUUUGACUCUUCUGCAGAACCCCCUGUUGACCCCUGCUUUGAGGUGGCAGAGUUAACACUACUCUUCGUUAUAAGCUCUCGUCUGGGGCAACUCAGAAGAACGGGACCAGAUGUGCAGAGGUAAUGAAUACCAGGGAAUCAGGAAACCACUGGAUCAGUUCUUUGAGCCACAGAACAACACUCAUCCCAGCAGCUGGGAAGCUAUCUGCAAAAGUCCAUCUGCAGAAAGGGCUUCCUGGUCUUGCGUGUGGCUGGGCCAUUUCUCUGGAUGCAGGUUUUUCAUUAUACAGUCUUCUCAAAGAAACACCUGCUCUCAA